CAUGCAGGCGGUUCAUCAAGUAGGAUGUGAAAUCCCCGGGCUCAACCUGGGAACUGCAUCUGAUACUGGCAAGCUUGAGUCUCGUAGAGGGGGGUAGAAUUCCAGGUGUAGCGGUGAAAUGCGUAGAUAUAUGGAAGAACACCAGUGGCGAAGGCGGCUCUCUGGUCUGUAACUGACGCUGAGGCUCGAAAGCGUGGUAGCAAACA
rnacentral:rRNA from 1 species